AUGAACGCUGGCGGCGUGCCUAAUACAUGCAAGUCGAGCGAACAGACGAGGAGCUUGCUCCUCUGACGUUAGCGGCGGACGGGUGAGUAACCCGUGGAUAACCUACCUAUAAGACUGGGAUAACUUCGGGAAACCGGAGCUAAUACCGGAUAAUAUAUUGAACCGCAUGGUUCAAUAGUGAAAGACGGUUUUGCUGUCACUUAUAGAUGGAUCCGCGCCGCAUUAGCUAGUUGGUAAGGUAACGGCUUACCAAGGCAACGAUGCGUAGCCGACCUGAGAGGGUGAUCGGCCACACUGGAACUGAGACACGGUCCAGACUCCUACGGGAGGCAGCAGUAGGGAAUCUUCCGCAAUGGGCGAAAGCUUGACGGAGCAACGCCGCGUGAGUGAUGAAGGUCUUCGGAUCGUAAAACUCUGUUAUUAGGGAAGAACAAAUGUGUAAGUAACUAUGCACGUCUUGACGGUACCUAAUCAGAAAGCCACGGCUAACUACGUG
rnacentral:rRNA from 1 species